GGGAUUGCACGAGUGUUUUGUUUGGUGAAAUCACAUGAAAUUGUCGUAUUUUCUGUCUAAAAACCUGUCAAAUGUGGCGAUGAAGAACUAGAUUUCAAAUUUCAAGAGUGGAAACCGUAAGUACUGAAAAUGUUUUAUUAUAUUUAGUAAAAAAAACCAGCGAGAUCUCAUAAAAAUUGCAUUGAUUGUCAUUGGGUAACUAUUGACAACCGAUAGUCAAUAGUUUGGUUUGUUUGCAUUUUUGCAUAAGCAAAAUUAUGUUAUUUUAUCACUUCGAAAACAUCAGGUGUAUUUAUAUGCCAACGUUUUCGAUCCGUGACCCAGAUCUUUGCUGAGUACAAAUAAUAUGAACAUCUGGGCUUAUGGAAUCAUCUAAAACUUUACCUAAUUAUAAACACAUGGAGUUUUUUCAAAAAAACAAAACUAUUAAUUUAUGGCAAUGCAAAUGGCUACAGAGAAAAAUGUAAUACUAAAACUAGAAAGCGUUUAUUACAUUUUUUCACCCACAGACUGACAGACACACUCCAGCCUAGAAAGUUCACAACACGCAGCCAAGAUCUCGGGUGCACAGUUUUGAUGUUAAUCUCGGACGCUCAAUUUCCAAGCUUUCCAGUCUGGGACACUUAGCGAAAAUGGACCUCAUUCUAAUUUUAUCUAAAUUUUCCGAUUAGAUAGGUCCAAAGCCCAAAUGUUUUGUGUGCCAUUCAACAAUCUGGCCGUGUUAAUGGAAAGGACCCCUUUGUGCAGAAAAUUUGGUUUUAAUACUAUUUAUAAUAACAUAAAAUUAUUAAGUUAAAUUUUGCCCCCUGCUGUCCCCACUCCCCUGCGUUGCAUACAGCCCACCUUAGAGGUGUUUUAUACAAGCAUGGAAUGAAGGUGAUUUGCACAGCAUAUGUGCAUAAUAAUGUAAAACUAUAAACUAUGGUAUGGAAUGGUAGACUAUAAACUACCGAAAUUAAUUUAUUUUAAAACAUAUCUACAGCAAUUCCAGACCUGGCUUUUACUCAAUCACAUAGCUAUUUGAUCUGUACAGUUGAAUAUAUUCAAACUGGUCAACAUUAAUACUUGAAUAAAAUCUUGGGGUAGAUGUUUCACCGAGUGAACACGUUGGCAUGGAUGUGAGUUAAGGUUUGUGAGAAGGCCAGGGGGGCGGUUGUACGAAGGCCGGAUAGCGCUAUCCACUGGAUAGUGAUUUUUCAAGCUUUGUUAAAUCAGUCGUUGAUUGGUAUAAGUCGUAUUAAAGUUUUGUAUUUAUAAGUUAAAUGUUUUUUUAUACUUCUUGUGUCGUCUACAUCCGUAGUUUCACAGUUUUUCAAGCAUUUUACAUAGCGCUAUCCGACCUUCGUACAACCCGCCCCAGGUGUGUAAAUGUUCGUUUAAGGACAUUAAUAAGAGGGAGGAAUAGGAAGAGUAUAAUGAGGAAAGCAAGGAUGAGAUGGUAUGGACAGAUGAUAAGAUGAGAUUUCAGAGAGCCGGUCAAAAAUAGUAUGGAAUGAAGGGAUAAAAUAUGUGGAGUGGUUGUCAUUGCAGAGAAUGCGAAGGUGGUAUGGACCCAUAAUACGAGAUGCAGAAGAGCCGGUCGAAGAUACAGUAUUAUGGAAUGAAGAGAUCAGAAGAUGUGGAGUGGUAUAGACAUUGCAGAAAAUAUGAGGGAAGCAAGGAUGAGGUGAUAAGACACACGAUAAGAGGAAAUGCAGGAGAAACGAUCGAAGAUGUAGAAUGAAGAGAUCAGAAGAGGUGGGGUGGUAGACAUUCCAGAGAAGACGAGGGAAGCAAGGGGAAGGUGGUAUGGACCCAUGAUAGGACGAGAUGCGGAAGAGCUGGUCGAAGAUAUCAUGGAAUGAAGAGAUCAGAAGAUGUGUGGUGGUAGACAUUGCAGAGAAGGCGAGGGAAGCAAGGGUAAGGUUGUAUGGACACAUAAUAAGAAGGAAUGAAGGAGAUCUAGUUAGAAAUACUAUGGAAUGAAGAGAUCAGCAGAUGCGGAGUGGUAGACAUUGAAGGGAAGGCGAGAGAGGCACGGAUGAGGUGGUAUGGACACAUAGUAAGACGAGAUGCAGGAAAGCCAGUUGAAAGAUAUUAUGGAAUGAAGAGAUCAGAAGAAGUGGGAUGGUAGGAGAGAAGGUGAGGGAAGCAAGGCAGAGAUGGUAUAUCCACGUCGAAAAGAAGUGAUGAACGAGAACCUGUCAGAAAAUAUGGAACUGACGAAUUGAUAGGUGGCUGUGUAAAAAAUGAUGAUGUGGGCUGAUGUAACAAUGAUAUACAUGAGAAGGAAGAAAAACAAUGGAGGUUAAGAGCCCAAGCAGCCGACCCGCGGCCGGAUCAGUCUUGGACUCUUGCUUCGUAAAAGAAGAGCAAGGAUUAACAUCGGUUGCUAUACUUACUGUAUAUUGAUAUCAGCAUUCGCACUGCCUUGUAGUUCACUGAUUAUAAGCUCAGAAAUACGAGUGUUUUUUUAAAAAUUCUUUACAACAAAUGGCGAAAAUAUCUUGGUGAAAUUGUCGUAUUUUCUGUCUAAAAACCUGGAAAAUGUGGCGAUGAACAGUGCUGUAAGUAACUUCGUUAAAAGUAACUAGUUACAAGUAAU